GCGGUGGCUCGCAAAACAGCAGGUCAGCGCCGUGCGCUUCGUGGUCUUGAAAACCGGUAAGGCAGCGAUGUCUUCGUGGGUUCGAAUCCCACACCCUCCGCU
rnacentral:tRNA from 1 species